ACGAACGCUGGCGGCGUGCUUAACACAUGCAAGUCGAACGGAAAGGCCCUGCUUUUGUGGGGUGCUCGAGUGGCGAACGGGUGAGUAACACGUGAGUAACCUGCCCUUGACUUUGGGAUAACUUCAGGAAACUGGGGCUAAUACCGGAUAGGAGCUCCUGCUGCAUGGUGGGGGUUGGAAAGUUUCGGCGGUUGGGGAUGGACUCGCGGCUUAUCAGCUUGUUGGUGGGGUAGUGGCUUACCAAGGCUUUGACGGGUAGCCGGCCUGAGAGGGUGUCCGGCCACAUUGGGACUGAGAUACGGCCCAGACUCCUACGGGAGGCAGCAGUGGGGAAUAUUGCACAAUGGGCGGAAGCCUGAUGCAGCAACGCCGCGUGCGGGAUGACGGCCUUCGGGUUGUAAACCGCUUUCGCCUGUGACGAAGCGUGAGUGACGGUAAUGGGUAAAGAAGCACCGGCUAACUACGUG
rnacentral:rRNA from 1 species